rnacentral:rRNA from 1 species
GAUGAACGCUGGCGAGAUGCCUUACACAUGCAAGUCGUACGGGGAUUUUUAAUUCAAGUGGCGGACGGGUGAGUAACACGUAAGAAUUUGCCUUUAGGAGGGGGACAACAACUGGAAACGGUUGCUAAUACCCCAUAUGCUUUCGAGUGAAAUGGAUUUUAUCCGCCUAGAGAGAAGCUCGCGGCUGAUUAGCUUGUUGGUAAGGUAAGAGCUUACCAAGGCGACGAUCAGUAUCUGGUUUGAGAGGACGAUCAGACACACUGGAACUGAGACACGGUCCAGACUCCUACGGGAGGCAGCAGUGGGGAAUUUUGGACAAUGGGCGCAAGCCUGAUCCAGCAAUGCCGCGUGCAGGAAGAAGGCCU